rnacentral:rRNA from 1 species
GAUGAACGCUGGCGGCGUGCCUAAUACAUGCAAGUCGAGCGAACAGAUGAGGAGCUUGCUCCGCUGACGUUAGCGGCGGACGGGUGAGUAACACGUGGAUAACCUACCUAUAAGACUGGGAUAAUCUCGGGAAACCGGAGCAUAUACCGGAUAAUAUAUUGAACCGUAGGGUGCAAUAGAGAAAGACGGCUUUGGUGGCAGGUAUAGAUGGAUCUGCGCCGCAUUAGCUAGUAGGGAAGGUAACGGGUUAUCAAGGCAACGAGGCGUAUCCGAGCUGUGAGAGUGGUCGCCCGCACUGGAACUGGACCACGGUCCAUGCUCCUACGGGAGGCAGCAGUAGGGAAUCUGCCGCAGUAGGGGGGAGUCUUGCGGAGCGGCGCCGCGCGAGUUGUGGAGGUCUUCCGAUCGUAAAGCUCUCUUAUUAGGGGAAAACAAAUGUGUAAGUAACUGUGCACGUCUUGACGGUAACUAGUCAGAAAGCCACGGCUAACUACGUG